rnacentral:lncRNA from 1 species
UCCCCUCCCCGCCCCACCGCGUCCCAGGGAACCCCGGCAGGGCACCCAGUGAGGGGGGCCCGGGCGUCCGCCCAUUCCUCACUGCUGUCCCCGCCUGUGCCCGAAACCCCCGUUCACGUUCACCGAGAAAACAGACAUAAACCCAGCCAGGCACAUCCACUAGAAUGGCUGUGAUUUCAGAAAAGCGGACGUAAGUGCUGCCGAGGAGAUGGAGGCGUUGGACCCCCUCGCGCAUUGUCGGGGCGGGUGCAGCCGCGGUGCAAAAGGACCUUCCUCAGAAAGUUGAGCACGAAGUUCCCACAGGCCCGGAAGUUCCCCUCCCGGGCGCUCCCCAGAGAGCUGAAGACUGGGCGCGUGCCGGCGGCAAAUGUUCACAGCAAAGGGCGGCCCAGUGCGCAGCUGGAACAUCAGCCCCAGGCGGUCGCUGCGACAGGGACGAGCCUGGGAAACGUGAAAAUGUCCAGAACAGGGAAUCCACAGAUAAAGAAAAGACAUCGUGGUUGCCAGAGCUCGCGGGAGGGGGCAACAGGGACCGACUGCUUAACGUGUAUGGUUCCCCUUCAGGAAUAAAUAGGUCAAGCUGGCUGCAGGGCCCACCCCACCGCGGCCUGGAGCAGGGUCUUCUGGGGUGUACCACCUCUGCCCUCACCCAGGCUCCACCACGACCAGCUUCGUCCACCCCCCAGGAGACCAUGAAGGCCCACGUCUGAAAUCCUCACUAAGCCCACCCUCCCAUCUCCCUGAACUACGGAUAACUACCUACAAGUUUUCUGAUUUAUUCAUUAGUGGAUUUGUUCGUGAUCAGCCCCACACCUGUUAGAAUGGAAGCUGCAGGCAGCAGGAACCAGUGUGGCCAAGUCGGAGGGCAGCACAAGCCGGUCCUCCUCGUGGACAGCAGAGGAUAAAACCGAGAAUAAGGAACUUUACAUUGUCAAUGAUCAAACACCUAGUGCACCCAUGGCCGUGCGUCCGCAGGACAAAGCAGCCUUUGGAGCCCUGGAACUUAAGAUGUCCAGAGAUCAGCAGCUCUCGGCUCAGGCCCAGGCAGCUGGACAGCACCCAGCGCCUCCUCCAGGUCCUCCUGGGUCCCCUCCUUUCUUUCACUUUCAGCCCGGGAAUCUCUGUGAAGUCCUAGCUGAUAACUAAGGGGUUAAUGAAUAAUCACAGUGAUGAGCUCUGGAGGAGCCAUGGCCCAGAGCAGCUGUGGCCUCCUUUGAUUAAACCACAGAAGUCCGGAGGAUCAGGCCUCAAACCUCCACCACCUGCCAGCUGGCACCUGUGAAGGAGGUGGGACCAGCACCCACCUCACAGUGGCUGCAGGGUCACCUGAGAUGGUGAUUGCAAAGUGCUGAGCCAUCGGGACACAUAUUUCCAAGACCUCCUGAGUGCCGGCUGGCCCCUGGAGCAGAGAUGAGACCCCUGUGGGGCCUACAGUCCAGUUAUGAAGGCAGGGUUCCUGUGUAAGCCAGCAGGCCCAGUUCUGGAAAGGCCAGGAUGUGGGUUCAGAAGCUCAAGGACAAUGGACUCAUUCUGACUGGAGGGAUCCAGGAAGGCUUCGUGGAGGAAGUGGCAUUUGACAUUGGCAUCAAGGAUGAACAGGAAUAGAGAGAGGGGACUGGUGUCUGCGUGAAGGAUCGCCAAAGCGCUGUUCUGGGGUGAGGGCGAUCAGCCCCUCCUGCCCCUCCUGAACUAUGAGGCUCGGGAGCCUUUGGCAGAAGGUGGCUCUGCACGCCCCAGGUGCAAGCUUGGAGCUUCCUUUUCUGCACUCCACAGCAGGAAGAAGGGCAGUGUGAACUGCUCACCACUGUCUUCCUGGGUUUGCAGCUCUGCGCCUGGCACAGAGACAGGCUCAGUGACGGUUGAAGGAAUCGGAGAAAUAAUGAAAAGUGUGUUCAUCCUGCAGGCAGCAGAGCCUCGGGUUAACCGUUAACGUCAGGAAAUGACAGAUCCAACGCUCCUGCUUGGGGCAGCGUGGAGGCCAGCGGAGGAACUGCAGGAGCCUAAAGGAGAUGGCGCGCGGGCCUGGCUCAGGAGAGCAGCCGUCUGAAAGAUGGCGGCGAAGGGUGCGGGAGGAGAUGCCCCGGGCAGGGGCUUGGCGGGGUCUGGCACCAAACUUCCCAAAGCAGCUGCCUCUGUGAACUGUGCCUGGCAGGGAGGGAGCCACACCGGGAGUGACCCUAGACGCUGGCUCCCCAGGGGUGACUGGAGGCAGUGUCUCCCGCCCAUGUGGGCCUCCGGCUUGGGGUCCCCAGAGCUCUGCCCUGCUGCUGGCUGCACUGAGAGAGGUGGCCUUCUGAAUGGGCCCUGUCCCCGGGGAGCCUCUGGUAAAGAGAUUCACCUGCACCCUCAAAACACGCCAUGCCCAUUGGAGGCUCUGGGUGCAGGCUGCCCCUCAAACAGAGAAAAACCACACGCUGUUUAAGACCCAAACCAAGGAGACAGCCCCUCAUGCCCCCUUCUAUCUCCCCUUCUGUCCAGGGCCCCCUGCCUGCUCUGGUCCACCCCGUCCUGACCCCCUCUGCCUGUUCAUCUGAGGGCCGUGAGCCAAGGCCUGGGCCUGGCCAAGGGUCAGGGAUCCUGGGACCUGCUUGAGACCAUGCCCCAUACACUCCUUCGGCCAGAAGGUCAGCCGUAGAGACAAACCCCCACCCUGAGCCCGCAGUGUCAGCAACGCCCUGUCCUCAGUGCCAGGCAGUGUCAGGCUGAGACCCGGGCCACCUGAUCCAACGUCCACUCCAAGCAAGCCAGAGCCAGGUGCUGCCAGCCUGCCCAUGUGCACACGUUAGCAGACAGGUUUCCUGGUGUGGCACACACGUGUUAUGACCGCGGCUGCUGCCCCCAGCCCAGAGUGCACUUCCGGGUAAUCCAGCACCCUGAGGCUUCACUGCUCUCCUGAGAGUUUUCUAAGAUUAAAUCUCCUUCACAAUGACAGCCUCCUGUCACCUGGGCCCUGGUGACAAAGCCUUUGGAGAGGCAAGGACCCAGCCGGGGCAUUCACAGUGGGCAUGCUAUCCACCCUCCGCCCCUGUCCUGGCCCCCACAGUGGAGCCGCCACCUUGGGUAACAGGGGCUGCCUGAGGUCCUGGAGAAGGAAGAACCAGGUGGCCCACCUUCGGUGCACAGGGAACAGCAGGGACCUGACGGCAGCCCCCGCACCCCUCCCUGGGCUGAAGUUCAGGCUGUCUCAUCCCUUGCCAGGAGCUCAGGGCUGAGCUAGGUUGGCAGGGGAUGGGUUGAGGGUCUGUUGUCCAGCAGAUUGCCCGGGCCCCACCCAGGCCACUCAGAAAACACCUGUGAGAGCCCCGCAGGCAUGCAGGGCACUGUCGUGAGCACACCAGUGGGGACAGACGUCCAGGCAGGAGGGAGCAGCCAGACCCCCAUCCCGCCAGGGUCACCAGGUGAGCAAGGCUGGGGAACAAUGGAGGCGGAGCCCCGCGACUGCCCAGCUCACUGCCCCCAGUGUCCAGGCUGUGGUGCAGGCGUGGGGACCCAGGUGUGUUCAGGGGUCUCCUUCAGGGAAGGAGACCAAGCUGGGAGUCUGGGGAGGCUGAGGUGUGAGGUGACAGCAGGUAAAGAGUGAGCCACAAUCAGCAUUUUCACAUGAAAGGAAACUACAGGCCUGGGCGCAGUGGCUCACGCCUGUAAUCCCGGCACUGUGGGAGGCUGAGGUGGGAGGAUCACCUGAGGUCGGGAGUUCGAGACCAGCCUGACCAACAUGGAGAAACCCCAUUUCUACUAAAAAAAAUACAAAAUUAGCUGGGCAUGGUGGCGCAUGCCUGUAAUCCUAGCUAUUCGGGAGGCUGAGACAGGAGAAUCACUUGAACCCGGGAGGCGGAGGUUAUGGAGAGCCAAGAUCGCACCACUGCACCCCAGCCUGGGCAACAAGAGUAAAACUCCGUCUCAAAAAAAAAAAAAAAAGAAGAAAGAAAAAGAAAAAAAGAAAGGCAACUACAGAAGGUGAGGAGAACCACCCGAGAUCACCAGAGGGAACCGUGGAAGGUCCGUGGUCCACCAGCCAGGCUGGGGCACCUCAGCCCCUGGGCAGAGCACCAAGCAGGGCCGUGCCCUGGUAAAGGAGGGCACAGUCAGCCCCAGACUACAAGCUGCCUUGGUCCUCCCAGCAGGGCUUAAAAGCAAGACCCCAAAGGACCAAACAGCUUCCAAGUAACUUCCUGGAGUCCUGAGCAAAGUAAGCUUUUCUCAGCUUUGCUACAAAAAUAGUCAGCACCCAGCAAAAUUCACAAUCCCUGUCACCCAUUCAAAAAUCACCAGGCAUGCGAGGAAGCAGGAAAAGGAAAAUGCACCCAGAAGAGAAGGAGCACCCAUCAACGGGGCCGCCUCAGAAGCAACAGACGACCGGGCAAGUCCAAGGGCACCGAGGCACCUGCCACCACUGCGCCCAGCACUCCCGAAGCCAGAGGGCAGAUUGAGGUUCAGAGAAGUCAGAAGCCUUCCCAAGGCUGCACAGCCAGAAGUGGGCACAGCGUCCUGGGGUGAGGGCUCACACCAUCUGCGCCACCUGCCCUCCAGGUCCCACCAUCCUCACAAAUUCAAGGCAAGGUUCUGGAACCCCCAGCCCUCCAGAAAGGGGAAGCUGAGCCCAGGAAGCACAUCUGAGAGUUCGGGUCCGUGAGUUUACCCUGCGCUCACGCCGAUUCCUCCUGCAUCCUCUGUCGGGAUGUCUGGAUUCCAGAGUCCCCACCCUGAUUUUCCAACCUUGCCUCAGCCUUGGCUUCUCCCUUUUGGGGUGGGACAGGGAACCCCAGCAGCAGGUGUAUGAGGGCAUGAGAGGGCAGGAGGUGCCCUAUGCCUACCCGCCAGACCAGGGCCCCAGCCCUGGACACAGGGAGAGAGCAUGAGCGCUGUUCCUGCUCCCACUCCCUCAUCUGAGCAGGUGCUCCCAGGUACAGGUGCCGAGUCCCACCCAGAGGGGCCCUGCCACAACCAGAGGACUGACAAACCCAGACACAACUGUCUCUUCCCCCUGGUCAGGGUCUGGGCAAGGGUCCCUCUGGGCUGCUGUCCAUGCUGUGAGUGUCCGUGCUGUGGGCCACUGCCGUGGGUGUCCGUGCUGUGGCCUGCUGUCGUGGGUGUCCGUGCUGUGGCCCGGUAUGUGAGGUUGUGUUUCCAACAGGGAGUAAUUUGGCUUUGGUUACCUGAGGGUCUGAGGACAGGCACUAAAGCCCCACCUUUCUGGCUUCCAGAGUUGCCGGCUCCAGCAGCAGCCUCCAGGCCUGAGCAGGCUCUGGGGCUCCCACACCUGGGGGGCCAGGGUGGGGGUGACAAAGGGCCCCAGGCGACGGCUGAGAGCCGGCCCUGAGCCGGCCAGGGCGGGCAGCAGAACAGCCACCAGCUCCCGCCAGGCCCUGGCAGCAUGAGCGAUGGCAGGCCCAGCGAUAAGAAACUAAUAAUUUAUGCUUCCAGCUCCCGGGGCCGGCGCCGAGGGAAGGUUGGGCCACAGCCUCCCCCGCACUGAGCGGCUGCAGUCCUUUAUUGCACAAAUUAUUAACGACCAGAGAAUGAAUGACUCUGUAAUCAGAUCAGGUUGCCAGCACUUUUCAUUGCAUUUAUUUGUAUAAAUUCUGAAGUCGGGGUCUGCCCUAAGCUCAGCAAGCCAGCGUCGUGCUGGCUGGGCGCCCAGGCCCCCACCCAGAAGGAACACCCGUCCCUCACCCUGCCCACGGGUUCCAGAGGACAGAGGGCUCAGGAAGGGGUGCAGGGAACUGCUCUGAGCCAGAAGCCGAGUUCAUAGGCACCCAAAGCAGCCCUGGGCCAGGGUCAGAGCUCUGUCCUUGAACCUGCCUCAGGGAAGAUUCCCAACUGUCCUCAGAGCCAGGGGCACCCAGGGCUUGGGAGCUGAAGGGGGGUGGGUCUGAGACCAGGAGAAGGCUCCCCAGCCCUGAGGGAACCCUCAUCACCCCCCUGCUCUCCUCGAUCCAGGAACCGUCCCAGGGUUGCCCCAGGCCUCCUGGCUCUCCCGCCUCCAUCCCGUGGGCUUCCCGGGAGCCCCAGGCUGGUCUCCCACCUGCCCCCUCCUUUUCUGGUCUUGCCUGGGCUGGGCCCAGGGGCUCUGGCUGUGGGUUUUCUGUGCAGCACCUCGCAGUGAGCCUGACGCUGGUCCUCUCCUGAGCCCCCGUUUAAUCUUAUUGACCUCUCGUUACGCUACAGAGCGUAAAUUCAGAUUUAGAGAUCUUAUGUUCCAUCAUAAAUUGGGCUGGCAGACUUCCGAUCAACAAGAUAAAGCUGUCUUCCGUGAGGCUGGUGUUUUAUUAGUCUUGGUCCCAGUGCUGCAGGUGUGGGCUGGGGAGUGCCUGAGGGAGGGGCCUCUGCUUGGGACCCUUCCUGCCUGGGCGAGGGGCUGAGUCCCUCCUGCCGCCCGGGCUGGGCCCCAGGUACCUGGCGAACAAAGGGACCCUGAAAUUGCCGCCUUUCCCCUGCCUCUUGGGCUCUGCAUAUGAUUUCAGCCAAUCCCUGCUGCCCAGCCUCGCCCACCCGCUUCUGGGGCCACCCCCGCGUUAAGCAGGGCUGUGCAGCAUGGGGGUCCUGUUCUCAUUCAGCCACCGGCACGGCCACCCCAGUGUGAUUCCUCAGCAGCCACACAGAAGACAGAUGGUCCAUAGGAGACUCAGAAACAGAGAAGCCUCACGCCAGGUCCACAGAGGCACCCACGCCCGCCAAAAGGAUGCCACGCACUCACCCUGCCCUCUGGGGAGCACAGUGGGAGUCCAGGACACCGCCUUGGAUGGGGUGAGGCUCCGUCUGUGACCUCAGAAAGUCAGUCUGGGGCUGGACUUGACAUGGGAAACAGAAUAAAACUGCCUGUCCACCUGAGCUUGCCGCCCUAAAAAUCCCUGACAUGAUACAGAAGUCAGUGCUGACAGAGGGCCUGCUACCCCCAGUGACCCUGCCGGUGGGGUCUCAACCCACCCACUUCUUCUGGAGCAGCCGGUCACAGCUGUGGUCCUGCUGGCGCACACGGGUAUGAGACCCUAAAACACACAGCGACUGCACAGUGCAACCCUGCAUAUCCCAUUUGGGUACAAGUUUCAUUACAGGAAGAAACACGGGGAGGGACCCCAGAGCAGCUCACGCGUGGGUACCCUCCGCUGUGUUAGCGUCCCGGCCCUCACACGGCACCCAGGCCUCGUUGGGGCAAGGCCUUGUGCAGACACGGUGGGAUCUGCAUGUGCACUGGGGCCUGUGCCUGGGCUGCUGCUCCCCGGCCACCGGUGUCAGGAUCUCCAGGACCCCCAUGAGUGGUCAGUGGAGCAGAGAUGGCACAGACGCCAGCGACCUGGGUCAUUCUCUACCUGGGAUGUGGGACCCCAGAGACCAUGCUGUGGGUCUUUAUCUGCCUCUUCAUGCAGGAGCAGGUGCGACCCCCGCCUGCCCCAGCCAUGAGGCUCUGUCACAGGGGACCUCUGUGGCACCCUGUGCUGCAGGCAAGGCCUUAGGACAGAUGCCACGCCACUGUCCAGGAGACUGUCUCCUGAGACUGACCUCCCCUUGCACUGGGCAAUGUCUGCUGAAGAUAAGGACGUCUUCACUGGGCCAGGCCUGGAGUUCUCCCAGAUCGUGAGCUUUCCUCUCUCUGAUGAAGAGGAUACCUGUGGUCAAACUCCUACAGAGCACUGGGGACAGGAAGGCAGGCAGAGUCCCACCUGGGCAGGUGGUAGGAGUGGAAGGAGCAGGCAGGCAGCAGGGCUGCCCAGGGCUAGGAGUCUGGCUGUGAGCAGGGCCCACCCUCCCCUGGACACAAUGGAGGACCCCGUGUGUGGUUUUCACUGACUGAGCACCUAUCUCGUGCCAGACAUGUGGGAUUGCCGGUGAAUUAACAAAAGCCCUGCUCUCAGGGGGCUCCCAUCCCAGCACAUACACCGUCACAUCUGGGGUCCAGCCUGGACCCCCCCAUGCAGUUGGAGAGGGUCUCAGAACCAGGUCUGAGAACAGCAACUUCCAGCCACGGCACCCCACCCCUCCCCAGCUGGCCUGGGCUCCAGCUCCUCGCACCUGAGGCUGCCUGUGCAGGGCCCCCGGCUGGUGCCCCUCUCCUCUGAAGCUCGGGGGUCGCCACAGCCUGGCACCCUCAUCGGGCCUGUUACGCACGUUCUGGUCUCUCCGUGCCCACAGACCCGCCAAGCUCACCAGCCAAUGUGCAGCCAGCACAAGCCCGACCUGCUAGGGGCCUCAGAACAAGCGGUGUGGCCCGAGGCCGUCACACAGCACCUGUGCUGAGAGUGAGCUGACGUGGACGGCGGCACCGUGGCCGUGGCAGAGGCACCAUCCCUCCACCCUCACUCAUGUAGGGAUGUGGGGCACACGGACUGGAGCCCAAGGCCUUCGUGCUGGGCCCUGGCUCUGCACUCGGCUCCCAGAGUCUCCCACCCAAUGUCAGAGAGGGUGCCGCAACAGUGCUUCGGGGGCUCCUGUCAUGAGGGCUGAGGACCACCUAGGCCCACGUCCGCCCAGCAGGUGGCAGCUGCAUCCCCGGUCCCCUCCACAACCCGGGCCAGGUCCAGGCUGCAGGCCGCAGUGUUGGCAGGGGGAGGAGAGGGUGAAAUUGGCUGAGCCCAUCCAUUGGGACAGACCCUCCCGCUCCUUGGGGCUCUGGAGAACUCUAUUCCUUCUCUUUGCUUAACCUCAAGGUGCUGGGGCCUCUGGCUGCUGCAGCAUUUACAGAGGAAUUGUCUGGGAUGUGCCGGGCCGAGCACUGUAGCUCUCGCCGGUGUCUGCGUCAGCACGCUAGUGACAUGGCAGGUUCAGGUCGGUGGACAGACUGGACUUGGAAACACCUUCUUGCGUCCUCGAAACGACGUGGCACGCAGCCAGCUCACAGCACCCAAAGGCACGGGCAAGUUGCAUCACGGCAGCCCCUCCUGUCUGACCAGGAGCAGGUGCGUUCCUGAGGUCCUGGCCACUUCUGCAGGAGCGUCCGAGGGAGCCCAGCUGAUAUACCACAGCCCCUGACCUCCCAGGUUAGCCUUUCCAUCCAACAGCACCAGGACUGGACAGGCCACCUUG